UGGAUCCAGACUUUGAUCAUGGCUCAGGAUGAACGCUAGCUACAGGCUUAACACAUGCAAGUCGAGGGGAAACGAUAGAGAAAGCUUGCUUUUUCUAGGCGUCGACCGGCGCACGGGUGAGUAACGCGUAUCCAACCUGCCCACCACUUGGGAAUAACCUUGCGAAAGUAAGACUAAUACCCAAUGAUAUCUCAAGAAGACAUCAGAAUGAGAUUAAAGAUUUAUCGGUGAUGGAUGGGGAUGCGUCUGAUUAGCUUGUUGGCGGGGUAACGGCCCACCAAGGCGACGAUCAGUAGGGGUUCUGAGAGGAAGGUCCCCCACAUUGGAACUGAGACACGGUCCAAACUCCUACGGGAGGCAGCAGUGAGGAAUAUUGGUCAAUGGGCGAGAGCCUGAACCAGCCAAGUAGCGUGCAGGAUGACGGCCCUAUGGGUUGUAAACUGCUUUUAUAAGGGAAUAAAGUGAGCCUCGUGAGGCUUUUUGCAUGUACCUUAUGAAUAAGGACCGGCUAAUUCCGUGCCAGCAGCCGCGGUAAUACGGAAGGUCCGGGCGUUAUCCGGAUUUAUUGGGUUUAAAGGGAGCGUAGGCCGGAGAUUAAGCGUGUUGUGAAAUGUAGAUGCUUAACAUCUGCACUGCAGCGCGAACUGGUUUCCUUGAGUACGCACAAAGUGGGCGGAAUUCGUGGUGUAGCGGUGAAAUGCUUAGAUAUCACGAAGAACUCCGAUUGCGAAGGCAGCUCACUGGAGCGCAACUGACGCUGAAGCUCGAAAGUGCGGGUAUCGAACAGGAUUAGAUACCCUGGUAGUCCGCACGGUAAACGAUGGAUGCCCGCUGUUGGUCUGAAUAGGUCAGCGGCCAAGCGAAAGCAUUAAGCAUCCCACCUGGGGAGUACGCCGGCAACGGUGCAACUCAAAUGAAUUGACGA
rnacentral:rRNA from 1 species